rnacentral:rRNA from 1 species
GCAAGUCGAGCGGAAACGAAGAUAGCUUUCUAUCAUGCGCCGAGCGGCGGACGGGUGAGUAACGCGUAGGAACCUACCUAAUAGUUUGGGAUAGCCAUUGGAAACGAUGAUUAAUACCGGAUACGCCCUACGGGGGAAAGCAGAGGACCUUCGGGCUUUGCGCUUCUGGAUAGGCCUGCGUGAGAUUAGCUAGUUGGUGGGGUAAUGGCCCACCAAGGCGACGAUCUCUAGCUGGUCUGAGAGGAUGAUC